rnacentral:lncRNA from 1 species
CGACACGUUGACGGGGCAGUGUCAGCCAACUUUCAUGUACCAGCAUUGAAGGAAUGAAGUUGCGAUUUUGAGAUUGAGGGUUCUUAUUGGAGGAAUUUCGUGUGUUCUAGAUGCUCAUCUGCAUCUACAAAUUGUUGGUGCGUUUUGGGAGUUAGGGUUUCGAAUUGGGGAUUUGAGUUUCUGAUUCUCGCUUUCGGGUUCCCGU